rnacentral:rRNA from 1 species
GAUUAACGCUGGCGGCGUGCCUAACACAUGCAAGUCGAACGAAGUGGCGGACGGGUGAGUAACGCGUGAGUAACCUGCCUUAGAGAAGGGGAUAGCCUUUGGAAACGAAGAAUAAUACCCUAUACUCUAAGAUGGACUUGCGUCUGAUUAGUUAGUUGGUGGGGUAACGGCCCACCAAGACAGCGAUCAGUAGCCGGCUUGGGGGCGUGGACGGGAACAUUGGGAGUGAGACACGGCCCAGACUCUACGGGAGGCAGCAGUGGGGAAGAUUGCACAAUGGGGGAAAGCCUGAUGCAGCGACGCCGCGUGAUUUAGAAGGUCUUCGGGUUGGAAAAAUCUAUUCUAUGGGAAGCAGUACCAUAGGAAUAAGGACCGGCUAAUUACGUGCCAGCCGCCGCGGUAAUAC